GGGGCUGUAGCUCAGUGUAGAGCAUCUGAUCUGCGUGCAGAAGGCUCCAGGUUCAAUCCCUGGCAUUUCCU